GCGCAGGGGAUCUGGACGGCAGUGUGGACUCCUGCCAGGGGGACAGUGGGGGUCCCCUGGUGUGUCAGGACGAGCUGGGUGUGUCCUACCUGUGGGGGGUCGUCAGCUGGGGGGAGAGGUGCGGUCAGCCGGGUUUCCCCGGAGUCUACACCCAGGUGGCUCAUUACUUCGAGUGGAUCCGAAGUCACACCGGCUGGCCGGCGGUCACCAGGUUUAACUCGUGAUAUAAAAACACUUUUAAACAACUUUUUGUUUAGUCUUUAAAUCGCCUCUUAUUUGUUCACUUUGUGUCCAAUAAAAUACGUUUUCCAGUU